rnacentral:ncRNA from 1 species
ACAAGCUGUGGUCCGCCUAUUCAAACGGCGGUUAAAAGGGAACAAGGGUGCAAGUCCCUGACAGUCCCGCUGCUGUGAGCCGUCCUUUUCUACGGUCGCGAACAUUUUUGCCACUGGCCAUGUAUAUGCGGCGAGCCGCCGCGUGUAGCCGUCAUGCUGACUUUUGACAUGCAGCAUGACACGUGCCGGGAAGGCGUUUGCGCCGGGCGGCAAGUCAGAAGACCUGCCAUCAGCCA